rnacentral:rRNA from 1 species
AGACCCGAAACCCGGUGAUCUAGCCAUGGGCAGGUUGAAGGUUGGGUAACACUAACUGGAGGACCGAACCGACUAAUGUUGAAAAAUUAGCGGAUGACCUGUGGCUGGGGGUGAAAGGCCAAUCAAACCGGGAGAUAGCUGGUUCUCCCCGAAAGCUAUUUAGGUAGCGCCUCGUGAAUUCAUCUCCGGGGGUAGAGCACUGUUUCGGCUAGGGGGCCAUCCCGGCUUACCAACCCGAUGCAAACUGCGAAUACCGGAGAAUGUUAUCACGGGAGACACACGGCGGGUGCUAACGUCCGUCGUGAAGAGGGAAACAACCCAGACCGCCAGCUAAGGUCCCAAAGUCAUGGUUAAGUGGGAAACGAUGUGGGAAGGCCCAGACAGCCAGGAUGUUGGCUUAGAAGCAGCCAUCAUUUAAAGAAAGCGUAAUAGCUCACUGGUCGAGUCGGCCUGCGCGGAAGAUGUAACGGGGCUAAACCAUGCACCGAAGCUGCGGCAGCGAACGUAUCACCCAAGACAACUUUGCGGAGUUGACGAUUGACGGAGCGAAGCGACGUCAAAGCGUUCAUUAAAGUCGAGUUGGCUUAGGGAUACGUUCGUUGGGUAGGGGAGCGUUCUGUAAGCCUGUGAAGGUAUGCUGUGAGGCAUGCUGGAGGUAUCAGAAGUGCGAAUGCUGACAUAAGUAACGAUAAAGCGGGUGAAAAGCCCGCUCGCCGGAAGACCAAGGGUUCCUGUCCAACGUUAAUCGGGGCAGGGUGAGUCGACCCCUAAGGCGAGGCCGAAAGGCGUAGUCGAUGGGAAACGGGUUAAUAUUCCCGUACUUGGUGUUACUGCGAAGGGGGGACGGAGAAGGCUAUGUUGGCCGGGCGACGGUUGUCCCGGUUUAAGCGUGUAGGUGUGUGUUCCAGGUAAAUCCGGUUCACUUUAACACUGAGGCGUGACGACGAGGCACUACGGUGCUGAAGCAACAAAUGCCCUGCUUCCAGGAAAAGCCUCUAAGCAUCAGGUAACAUCAAAUCGUACCCCAAACCGACACAGGUGGUCAGGUAGAGAAUACCAAGGCGCUUGAGAGAACUCGGGUGAAGGAACUAGGCAAAAUGGUGCCGUAA